GAUGAACGCUGGCGGCGUGCCUAAUACAUGCAAGUCGAGCGAACGGACGAGAAGCUUGCUUCUCUGAUGUUAGCGGCGGACGGGUGAGUAACACGUGGAUAACCUACCUAUAAGACUGGGAUAACUUCGGGAAACCGGAGCUAAUACCGGAUAAUAUUUUGAACCGCAUGGUUCAAAAGUGAAAGACGGUCUUGCUGUCACUUAUAGAUGGAUCCGCGCUGCAUUAGCUAGUUGGUAAGGUAACGGCUUACCAAGGCAACGAUGCAUAGCCGACCUGAGAGGGUGAUCGGCCACACUGGAAGUGAGACACGGUCCAGACUCCUACGGGGGGCAGCAGUAGGGAAUCUUCCGCAAUGGGCGAAAGCCUGACGGAGCAGCGCCGCGUGAGUGAUGAAGGUCUUCGGAUCGUAAAGCUCUGUUAUUAGGGAGGAACAUAUGUGUAAGUAACUGUGCACAUCUUGACGGUACCUAAUCAGAAAGCCACGGCUAACUACGUG
rnacentral:rRNA from 1 species